rnacentral:rRNA from 1 species
CUACCAGACUCCUACGGGAGGCAGCAGUGAGGAAUAUUGGUCAAUGGCCGAGAGGCUGAACCAGCCAAGUCGCGUGAGGGAUUAAGGCCCUAUGGGUCGUAAACCUCUUUUGUCAGGGAGCAAUGGCGUCCACGUGUGGGCGUAUGGAGAGUACCUGAAGAAAAAGCAUCGGCUAACUCCGUGCCAGCAGCCGCGGUAAUACGGAGGAUGCGAGCGUUAUCCGGAUUUAUUGGGUUUAAAGGGUGCGUAGGCGGAAUGCCAAGUCAGCGGUAAAAUCGCGGGGCUCAACCUCGCUCCGCCGUUGAAACUGGCGUUCUUGAGUGGGCGAGAAGUAUGCGGAAUGCGUGGUGUAGCGGUGAAAUGCAUAGAUAUCACGCAGAACUCCGAUUGCGAAGGCAGCAUACCGGCGCCCAACUGACGCUGAAGCACGAAAGCGUGGGUAUCGAACAGGAUUAGAUACCCGAGUAC